AUAUCAUGGUUUGGUUGAUUGUGUAUCAGGUUACUCCAAGAAAGGUGAUGGAGUUUGGAAAUCCUAAAGAAGCGAUAUGUGAAGCUGCUGAGAAGCUUGGUGUUGAUUUGCUUGUUGUUGGAAGCAAUGGUAAAGGAGCAAUACAAAGGACUUUCCUUGGAAGUGUUAGCAAUUACUGUGUUAACCAUGCCAAGUGUCCAGUUCUUGUGGUGAGAAAUAAGGAUUGAAGACCUCUUCUCUUCACAGAGAUUGAGAAGACUUGCCUGCUGUAUGUGUUGUAAACGUAUUGUGAUAAAUAAUGCUCUGCUUGUUUAAGAAACUUUGUGAGUACACAUAAUUUAUUUUGUUUGAUAAAUAAAGAGCUUUGAUGUGCUCGAGA